CCAAAGCCUGUUAGUAAUUCCUGCUGCUGGACUCGGUGGAUAUUUCUUAUGCCAUUUCUGUCCUUCUGGGUGUAUUCUAGCACUUUGCCUCCCAGUCCUGAUGAAAAAGGAAAGCAAAAAGGUGACUAAAAUAUGAAAUUUACUUCCAGAAUGUCCUGGUGGUUCGCAGAUGUCUCAGAAAUGCCUUUGGUGGCCGUUAGCAGGGUGUGCUCGUGCUGCCAGAGGGACCAAAGUGUGGCCCGGUCACUCGCUCACCAUUCAGCCUGUGCUUUGGUGGUGUUCUGGCUUGGAUAGCUGUUGGCCUGAAAAUACACUGACAAGGACUUUAUCUAAUAGAUGCUUGUGUGGCUGGUUGCUGGCUUGAUACGAGAUGCCAAACAAAGCGACUUAAUAUGAACAGAGAAAGAAAUGACAGCAGGAAUAAACCAAAAGACAGUUUAAGGACACAUUCACCAUCAACCUUGCCCAUGUGAGGUGCAGUCUUGCUUGGCUCCUGUUGCUGCGCAUGCUGUUGGCAGGGAUGAUCGAAGCCUCUGCUGCUUCUCCUGCAGUGGGGAUGCAGCCCUUCAGAGCCCGACUUCAGUUUCCUCUUACAAUCAUGGUUGGCUUCCUCUGGGAGCAGCCUCUGCCUGCCCACAGCCCGCCUUCAUCCUGUUAGGGCCUGCGGAGAGUUACUCAGUUAAACAUCAUAAAUCCCACUAUAAAUGAUUACACAGGGCUUUUCACUAACAAUCUUCUGUGGGGAUAUCAAGCUUGAUGGAAGCAUAAAUCAUUUAAAGAACAUCUGCUUAAUGAGGGGUAACCUGGAACUGCUUCCCUGAGCCUGGGUGUACCAAGGGGGAAAAAGCUCAGGCAGCUGAACGACCUCAGCCGGCGCCUGCUGGGUGUGAGCAGAUGCCUUCUGUUGCCACAUCCAAGCCUUGCCACAGCCUGGAGCGAUCCUGAGCCCACGCUCAGAGUUAGGGCUGGAGGAAAGGUGCAUGAAUUGCCUGACUUGCACGGUGCUCUCGGCUGGCUCAGUGGAAGUGAUUCACUUGCUCGUGAGUGCGAAGUGUUCGUCGUCCCUCCUACCCACAGCAUGAUGUGGCUUCUACCCUUCCCCCUCUGUGCUCUUAUCUUCCGCUGCUUGGAGAGGCGGAGUGCUCAGCGGCUGUGAGGUUUGUGUGUCUGGAGGGGGUGGCAACUCGCCAGCCCACGGCAUGCUUCUUGUGCUGUGAAAUUGGAGCGGGUGAAUGCCAGCUACUUCAGUGGAAAAUGGGAGCAGUUCCUCUGCUGCCAAUGAGGGCUGCUGCCUGAAGGUACCACCGGGCUCCAAAGAGUGGAAGACUUUGCUUCUGGCUAUGUAUAACACACCUAUUCCUUUGACACACGUGAAUUGGUGUAUAUUACUGGGAAUUCCAGGAUGCUUAGCUGGGAAUGAACUCCUCUCUGUUUCACAACGUGACUCUGUGGUGUUUGUACUAGUUUAGAUUUGUUAAUUUUGUUUUGUCUGUUUGUUAUUUUCCACUGCUUCAGGCUGGGGAAUAGCAGCUGGCCGAGGCUUUGUACUGUCCAUGCCUUACCCUGGUUUUUAAGUUGUCUAAGUCUGAAUGAGCUGGGACUUAAGGGGCCUCAUAUGAAACCUCCAGGUGGCAGAUCUGAACCUAAGCAGGCCUCCUUCCACGUGCACUGCAGAGCAGUCGGAUGAAUCCGAGGAAGAAAUGUCCAUUGAGGACUAUUAAACACAAAAGCUUUCAUUACCGGGCCGCAGCCUGGGCACACGGCUAACGUGUUCCAUCCAGCAGGGCUUUGGGGACUGCUCCGAUCAGCUCAUCUGACUCCAUCAGCUGUCCAUCAGACGGCUGGGAAGUGCUCCCAGGGCUAACCUACACACGGUGUCAGCAACCCACCGCCUCUGCUCCCGUUGCUGCCUGCAUAAAGGUCACAGAUAACGAUUAAAAAUAAAUAAAUAAGCCAGGAGAACCCCCCAGCCUACCUCUGGGGUCACUCAGGUUUGAAAUAAAUCUCUCAUCUUUCUAUUUCUGAAGCCACAGAUGACUUAAGCCAAAUUGCAUUUGGAGCCGUUAUCCUCACACUCCUGUUUUAUUUAUGCUGCCGUGUCCUGUGCUAACGCUUUGUGAAAUAUUUAUUUGCUUCUGCUCUCCCACAGCUCAGCUGUGGAUUCAUGAGGCUCCUGUGCUAUGUCUCAAUUCUACGCAGCUGCGUUCUGUCAAGAAAGGAGAAAAUGAAGACUCCAAUCUGUGUUUUACAUUGUAGCAAUGCACCGUGUAUGACUGUAGCUGAUGUCUUUCAACAGGUGGAUGUUUUUCAGGUGCCUGGCUUGCGUAAGAGCUGUGGAAUGCACGUAUGGUGGCAGAACCUUAAUGUGUGAUGAGCAGCUCUUCUGUAUGUGCUUCCCCAAGCUGCCCUUGUGCUUGCUGGCCCUACUGGUUCCAGGUAACUCGCACAAAAGAGUUUGGGAGGAGACAGACGUGUCCUAAAGGACACCAGCGUGUGGCUUAUUGGUUCAGGGGGUGAGCUGAUUACAAAUUUCAGAUUCUGUCCGUAAGAUAAAUAAAUGAAGUGUCGUAAACACCUUUAUCUUCUGCUCGGGGCUGAAGCGAGCAGCCAAGUCAAACCGGUGUGCAUCCGAAAUGGCUUCUCCAGGCACUGUGCCAGCUUCCUGUCCCUCAGUCCAGGGAGGAAAUGAGCAGCAGCUGUCCUCCCUGCUGCAGCUUUGCUGCUUGCAAGCCAGGGAGGAGGAAAUCUGUGUACUGGGCUCCCCUUCCCUCCCUUUAUCACAAACACCAGAGUCUUGGUUUGAGUUCCUGCAGGAGCAAGGAUAUGGGCUGGCUGAAGAUACUUUGGUGCAGCUCUGACAUUUGGGCAAGCCAGCAGGAUUCUGCUAGAGAGGAUUUGUUCUCUUGCUUCCAGCUGAAAGCCGGACUAGAAGUGUCUGGUUGCCAUCUGAGUUAACUGUUGUUUAGUGUGUAAUGAGUGGAUGGUUCUCGGUCCAGUGGUGGAUAGACAAGUUUAGUCUGAGAGCUGCAGGCAGGGCUGGUCCCCAAGGAGUUGGCUGACACUGACUGUAAGCUGCCUGCGUCUUUAGAGGCAGUGUGUAAAUUGGAGGAAUAAUAAACGUGAGUGCCUGGAGGUGGCACAUGAGUGUACGAUGGAGGAGAUUUUACUUUUACACACUUAAGCUUGGUGAUCUGAUGCCAUCUCUAAAAAACCUUUCCGAGUCUAAAUUCAGUUUUAGGUCAGUAUAUUUAUAUAUAUACACACGUAUUUGGGAAAGGAGCUGCUAAGCUGCUGUUGCCACUUCUUGCUGAA
rnacentral:lncRNA from 1 species